CUUCUGUCAACCUUUGGCUCUGAGCAAGCUGAGAGCGCAGGAUGGGCCUAAUGCUCAUUGAUUUAGAAAAGAAAAUCAGUUUUAAACUAGAUUGCAGUGAGUCCUGAACUCACUGGGAGGAGACCAGAGUCUGCUUUAGAAAUCAGACUCCAACAGAAGUUAACAAAAUGAACACUUUGAAGCGCUCCUUUGCAAAGGAGAAACUUCAAGGCUUCACUUUGACCUGCGGACCUGAUGAAGACACUUUCGAAAGGGUUCUUCCGAGAAUGACAUUGAUUAAAAGCACAGCAUCCCAAUGUGCACUUCCAGAAUAUGGUUCGCUUGCAGAGGAAAAUGGGAGUCAGGAUGGAAGAGCAGCUUCUUGCUUGCAGCUCGCACCACCAUGCACAUGAGCUCUGCCUUCAGGUGACUGUUCACAGGGAGCUAGAGUUCGGGGCUGACACAGUGUUACAGUGCAAGUUAAAAGGGGCUGUGUCAGAAAUGAAAAAAACAGCUUGGAGAGGACUUUUAUGGAUAAUAAACUAAUAGCUUGCAUUUAAAUGGUGCUUUUU
rnacentral:lncRNA from 1 species